GAUGAACGCUAGCGGCAGGCUUAAUACAUGCAAGUCGAGGGGCAGCAGCUCUGUAGCAAUACAGAGGCUGGCGACCGGCAAACGGUGCGGAACACGUACGCAACUUACCCAUAACUGGUGAAUAGCCCUCCGAAAGGAGGAUUAAUACAUCGUAACAUAAUGAGAUGGCAUCAUUUUAUUAUUAUAGCUCUCGGGCGGUUAUGGAUGGCGUGCGGCUGAUUAGGUAGUUGGCGGAGUAAUAGCCCACCAAGCCAACGAUCAGUAACUGGUGUGAGAGCACGACCAGUCACACGGGCACUGAGACA
rnacentral:rRNA from 1 species